rnacentral:rRNA from 1 species
GGAAGUAAAAGUCGUAACAAGGUCUCCGUUGGUGAACCAGCGGAGGGAUCAUUACAGAGUUUACAACUCCCAAACCCAAAUGUGAACAUACCAAUCGUUGCUUCGGCGGACUCGUCCCAGCGUCCGGGUGGCCUUGCGCCGCCCGCGGCCUGGAACCAGGCGACCGCCGGAGGCCAUUCAAACUCUUUGUAUUACCAGUAUCUUCUGAAUCCGCCGCAAGGCAAAACAAAUGAAUCAAAACUUUCAACAACGGAUCUCUUGGUUCUGGCAUCGAUGAAGAACGCAGCGAAAUGCGAUAAGUAAUGUGAAUUGCAGAAUUCAGUGAAUCAUCGAAUCUUUGAACGCACAUUGCGCCCGCCAGCAUUCUGGCGGGCAUGCCUGUUCGAGCGUCAUUUCAACCCUCGAGCUCCCCUUGGGGAGCCCGGCGUUGGGGACCGGCCUCUACCGCCGACCCCGAAAUACAGUGGCGGCCCCGUCACGGCGACCUCUGCGUAGUAACUCAACCUCGCACCGGAAACCCGACGUGGCCACGCCGUAAAACACCCCACUUCUGAACGUUGACCUCGGAUCAGGUAGGAAUACCCGCUGAACUUAAGCAUAUCAAUAAGCGGAGGA